AAAAUGGAGAGUUUGAUCCUGGCUCAGGAUGAACGCUGGCGGUAUGCUUAACACAUGCAAGUCGAACGGUCUUUUCGGAGACAGUGGCGGACGGGUGAGUAACGCGUAAGAAUCUACCUUCAGGUCGGGGACAACCACUGGAAACGGUGGCUAAUACCGGAUGUGCCGAGAGGUGAAAGGCUUGCUGCCUGAAGA
rnacentral:rRNA from 1 species